rnacentral:lncRNA from 10 species
GCCAAGCUGACACUUAGCGAGCAAGUACGGACCUCUCCUCGCAGGCUCCGGUGGGAAAGGCUCCUGGAAGGGCGCGAGCCAGGAAAGUAGAUGAAGUGAAGAGAUGAAGACUGCGUGGGGUAGUUGUUGGAAAAGCUCGGAUCAUCCCCAACCCAGCCCCGUCUUGUCCGGCCCCAAAAGGCCCAUCUCGGCCGAGCUACUCACACUUUGUACGGCAGCCGUGGGUCCGACGUCAGCGUGAUCUUAAAGGAAACCUUCGACCUGAGGAAAAGAGCGGGAGAGAGUCAGGGUCGGGCAGCUGGACCAGGAAUUAUGGCAGUCGAUUGAUGUCAGAGUGGGAUUCAAAGUAGAACUUCAGUGACUCCAAGGAGCACCAAGUCACCAAAAGGCCAAAAGAUAAAAACAAGCAAGAAAGCAAACAAAUAAAAGUAACAACAAAAUUUAAGAACCCCUUGCAUGGAAGGAUGCUUAUUUCCUCUGGACUGAAAGAUGGCAUCAGAAGUGGGAUCUAAAGUAAAGCUUCUAACAAUCCCCAUGAGCACUGAGUGACCAAGCAAGGUACACGCCAGGCCUGUUCUGUCUGUUGCUCUCACAGAGGAGCUGGGGAUCGUGGAGGUUCAUGACAGGAUGAAAAGAAACCUGAGAAGCACUCUUGAAGAGAGGUUUCUGAAUAACUUUCGAAUCAUAUCAUUUGGACUGGAUGACAGAAACUUCAUCUGCAUUGGCUUCGGCAAAGCAGAAAUUUAUUAGCUUACAAGGCUGUACAGGAAACAUGGCUGGGGAGGUCUCAGGAAACUUACAAUCAUGGUGGAAAGUGAAGAGGAAGAAGACACAUCUUACAUGACAGAAGCAGGAAGAAGAGAGUGAAGGGGUAAGUGCCACACACUUUUAAACCACCAGAUCUCAUAAGAACUCACUGUCAUGAGAACAGCAAGGGGGAUGUUUGCCCCUAUGAUCCAAUCACCUCCCACCAGGCCCCUCCUCCAACACUGAGAAAACUAUAAUUUGACAUGAGAAUUGGGUGGGGACACAGAGUCAAAUCAUAUCAUUCUGUUGGUAGUUUCUUUUGCUGUGCUGAAACUCUUUAAUUAGGUCUCAUGUGUCCGUUUUUUGUUGUUGUUUUUACAAUUGCUUUUUGUAUCUUUGUCAUGAAAUCUUUGCUAGGGCCUAUGCCCAGAAUGCUAUUUCCUAGAUUAUCUUCCAGCAUCUUAAUAGUCUUAUGUUUUACAUUUAAGUCUUCAAUCCAUCUUGAAUUGAUUUGUGUAUAUGGUGUAAGGAAGGGAUCCAGUUUCAAUCUUCUGCAUAUGGCUAGUCAGUUAUCCCACACCAUUUAUCGCAUAGGGACUCCGUUCCCCAUUGCUUGUUUUUGUCAGCUUUGUCAAAGGUAAUCUAAAUGGUUGUAGGCGUGUGGCAUUAUUUCUGAGCUCUCUAUUCUGUUCCAUUGAUUUACAUUUCUAUUUUUGUACCAAACCCAUGAUGUUUGGUUACUGUAGCCUUGUAGUAUAGUUUAAAGUUGGGUAACAGGAUGCUUCUAGCAUUUUUCUUUUUGCUUACUAUUGCCUGCUAUUUGGGAUCUUUUUUGGUUCUACAUGAAUUUUAAAAUAGUUUUUUUUUUCUAGUUCUGUGAAAAAUGUCAUUAGUAGUUUGAUAGGAAAAGCAUUGAGUCUGUAAAUUGCUCUGGACAUUAUGGCCAUUUUAACAAUAUUGAUGCUUCUUAUCCAUAAGCAUGGGGGGAUUUUCCAUUUGUUUGCAUCAUCUCUGAUUUAUUUGAGCAGUGUUUUGUAAUUCUCAUUGUAAACACGUUUCACCUCCCUGCGUAGCUAUAUUCCUGGGUAUUUUAUUGUUUUUAUGGCCAUUGUGAAUGCGAUUGUGUUCUUGAUUUGGCUCUCAGCUUGGAUAUUGUUGCUAUAUAGGAAUGCUACUUUUUGAACACUAAUUUUGAAUUCUGAAACAUUGCUGAAAUUGUUUAUCAAAUCAAGGAGGUUUUGGGUAGGGACUAUUUGGUUUUCUAGGUAUAGAAUCAUAUCGUCUGCAAAAGGGGAUUAUUUGACUUUCUAUUAUCCCAUUUGGAUGCUUUUUUUUCUUUUCUUUUGGCCAAUUAUUCUGCUUAGGACUUCCAGUAGUAUGUUUAAUAAAAAUAAUAAGAGAGGGCAUUCUUGUCUUGUUUUAGUUUUCAAGCGGAAUGCUUCCAGCUUUUGCCCAUUCUGGAUGAUGUUGGCUGUGAAUUUUUCAUAAAUGGCUCUUAUUAUUUGAGUAUGUGCCUUUGAUGCUUACUUUGUUGAGAGUUUUUAACAUGAAGGGACAUUGAAUUUUAUCAAAAGCCCUUUCUGCAUCUAUUGAGAUGAUCAUGUGAUUUUUGUUUCUAGUUUUGUUUAUAUAAUGAAUUACAUUGAUUGAUUUGCCUCUAUGGAACCAAUUCUUGCCUCCCAAGAAUAAAGCUUAAGAGAUUGUGGUCAUUUAGCUUUUCAAUGUGCUGCUGAAUUCAGUUUGCUAAUAUUUUGUUGAGGAUUUUUACAUCUUUGUUCAUCAGGAAUAUUGGCUUGUAGUUUUCUUUAUUGUUGUUUGUCUGCCAAGUUUUGGUAUCAGAAGGAUGCUGGGCUCAUAGAAUGAAUUAGAGAGGAAUUCUUCCUCCUAAAUGUUUUGGAAUAUUCACAGUAGGGAUUAUACCAGGUCUUCUUAAUAUGUCUGGUAGAAUUCAUCUGUGAAUCCAUCUGGUCCUGGGAUUUUUCUGGUUGGUAGGCUUUUUAUUACUGAUUAAAUUUCAGAACUCAUUAUUGGUCUGUUCAGGGUUUUAAUUUCUUCUUGGUGCAAUAUUGGGAGGUUGUAUGUUUUCAGGAAUUUAUCAGUUUCUUCUAGGUUUUCUAUGUCGUGUGCAUUUAGGUGUUCACAGUAGUUUCUAGGGGCUUUUUGUAUUUUUGUAGGGUUAGUGGUAGUGUUCACCUUUGUCAUUUCUGAUUUUGUUUAUUUGGAUCUUCCCCCUUUUUUCUUUAUUAUUCUGACUAGGGGUCUAUCUAUCUAAUCUAUUCCUUCAAAGGAUCAAUUCUUAUAUUUGUUGAACUUUUGUACAGUUUUCUGCUUCUCAAUAUCCUUCCAUUCAGCUUUGAUUUUUGUUAAUCCUUGUCUUCUGCUAGCUUUGAGGUUGCUUGCUCUGAUUUCUCUAGUUCUUCUAAGUGUGCUGUGAGAUUAUUAAUUGGAGGUCUUUCUAACUUUUUGAUGUGGCAUUUAGCAGUAUAAACACCCCUCUUAAUGCUGUUUUUACUGUGUCUCAGAGAUUCUGGUAUGUUGUAUCUUUAUUCUUCUUAACUUCAAAAAAUUUCUUGAUUUCUGCUUUGACUUUAUUGUUUAUACAAAGGUCAUUCAAAAGCAGGGCUUUUAAAAAUUUCCAUGUAAUUUUAUGGUUUUGAGGGUUUUUUAAGUAAUAAUUUCUAUUUUUAUUGUGCUGUGGUUUGAGAGUGUGAUUUGUAUGAUUUUGUUUUUGUUUGUUUGUUUUUGAUUUCCUGAGGAUUAUUUUAUGGCUAAUUGUGUUUUCUCUUUUGCAGUGUGUGCUCUGUGCAGAUGAGUAGAAUAUAUAUUCUGGUGUUGUUUGGUGGAGAGUUCUACAGAUGUGUAUUGAGUCCAUUUGGUCAAUGUUGAGUUUGAAUCCUGGAUAUUUUUGUGAGUUUUCUGCCUCAGUGAUCUGUGUAAUAUACUGUCUGUGGGGUGUUGAAGUCUACUACUAUUAUUGUCCAGUUAUCUACAUCUCUUCAUAGGUCUCUAAGAACUUGCUUUAUGAAUCUGGAUUCUCCUGUGUUGGAUGCAUAUAUAUUUACAAUAGUAACAUCUUUCUGUUGUAUUGAACCCUUUACUAUUCUGUAAUGUCUUCCUUUGUCUUUCUUGAUCAUUGUUGGUUUAAAGUCUGUUUUGACUGAAAUUCGACUGUCAACCCCAGCUAUUUUCUGUUUUCCAUUGGCUUGGUAGAUUUUUCUUCAUCCCUUUACUUUAAGCCUAUGGAUCCAUGUGAGAUAUGUCUGUUGAAGACAGCAUACAGUUGGAUCAUGC